rnacentral:tRNA from 1 species
GGUGGGGUGGCCGAGUGGUUAAUGGCACCGGUCUGUAAAAUCGGCUCCCGUAAGGGAUUCGCAGGUUCGAAUCCUGCCCCCACCACCA